UUUCCGUAGGUGAACCUGCGGAAGGAUCAUUAGUGAAUUUUGAGCGCCUCUUCCACAGAGGGCUCGUCUUCCACUUUUAACCCUGUGAACUCGUCGCCAUGUCUCCUCAUUCAGUUGUUGAGCUUGGCUGGUUUUUUAAUAAACCCACACACCUUUAUUUAAACGCAAGUUUAAUGAAUGUAAACAAACAUAACAAAUAAAACUUUCAACAACGGAUCUCUUGGCUCCCACAUCGAUGAAGAACGCAGC
rnacentral:misc_RNA from 1 species